CUCUCAUCUAUUUUAGCACCCAAAUCAUCAAAACAUUCAUUAAAAUUCAUGUUCUACUUGUCUCGCUUGCAGACGAAUCCAUGUGACCUUGACAUUGCAGUAAAUGUGCUUUUUUAAGGGAACUCAACUUUGUCCUAUCCUUUUCAAACUUUCUCCACAUGAGAUUUAAACUAUUUCCACAAUGAAUAUGCAAUUUCAGUGCAUUCGGAGGGGGGAAAAGGCCUUAAAAUGGCCGUUUAAAGCGGUGACUAAAUUGGCCGCAGUCAAGUCGGAAUGCAUGAUUUUUAGUCUAAGUGACGACAGCUGAUUUUGUGUCUCUAAUUAUUGUUACGCGUAACUUUUAUGGCAAAAACUGGGAUCAUUGCAUGCGAAAUUCACCAAUAUAUCAGCAAAAGGCCCAAAUAAAUGUAUUGAUUGUGAAUCAGUGUACU